rnacentral:lncRNA from 1 species
GGGCGCAAUAGGGGUUUGGGCAAAAAACAACAAAUGCAAAAAUGCUGAUAACAGUUAACAAAGUGGGUUGAAAACAGUUAACAGUUUAUAUUUAUCUCCGAUAACAGUAAACAACACCUUGAAAAAGGCCAAAACAGAUUAACAUAAAAGGGUAUUGCCCCUCCUCAGUAAUGGCAACCUGUUAACACAGAACUGUCCACAAUAUACAGGAAAUUUACUUACUGUUCUUGAGUAUCUUGUACGGACCAACAGCAUAAACUUUUCCAAUAUUUGGAAUUAUUUUCAACUUCAUAUUUCCUUCCAGGCAUGUUGAGGUUGUACGAUCCUUUUCUUUGCUUCAUUUUACAGUCAAUAUUUUGUUUUUCUUUACAAUGGACAAAUUAAAAUGACCACGAAAGUGUCACAGAUAAGAUGCUUAACUAUCUCUCAAAAUAAGAUUUUAGUCUAUUUUCAGUCAAAUAUAUAUAUUAGUUCCACUGGUACUUUGCACAAAGCUAGUCCAUUGUUUGAAGU